AGUGAACGCUGGCGGUAGGCCUAACACAUGCAAGUCGAACGGCAGCACAGUAAGAGCUUGCUCUUACGGGUGGCGAGUGGCGGACGGGUGAGGAAUACAUCGGAAUCUACUUUUUCGUGGGGGAUAACGUAGGGAAACUUACGCUAAUACCGCAUACGACCUACGGGUGAAAGCAGGGGAUCUUCGGACCUUGCGCGAUUGAAUGAGCCGAUGUCGGAUUAGCUAGUUGGCGGGGUAAAGGCCCACCAAGGGGACGAUCCGUAGCUGGUCUGAGAGGAUGAUCAGCCACGCUGGGACUGCGACACAGUCCAGGCCCCUGCGGGGGGCAGCAGUGGGAAAUGUUGGACAAGGGGCGCAAGCCUGAUCCAGCCAUGCCGCGUGGGUGAAGAAGGCCUUCGGGUUGUAAAGCCCUUUUGUUGGGAAAGAAAAGCAGCAGGUUAAUACCCCGCUGUUCUGGCGGUACCCAAAGAAUACGCACCGGCUAUCUUCG
rnacentral:rRNA from 1 species